CCUACGGGUGGCUGCAGUGAGGAAUAUUGGUCAAUGGGCGGGAGCCUGAACCAGCCAAGCCGCGUGAGGGAAGAAGGUACAGCGUAUCGUAAACCUCUUUUGUCAGGGAACAAAGGCGGGGACUAGUCCCCGGAUGAGGGUACCUGAAGAAAAAGCAUCGGCUAACUCCGUGCCAGCAGCCGCGGUAAUACGGAGGAUGCGAGCGUUAUCCGGAUUUAUUGGGUUUAAAGGGUGCGCAGGCGGCCUGUUAAGUCAGCGGUAAAAUCGAGGGGCUCAACCCCUUUAAGCCGUUGAAACUGGUGAUCUUGAGUGGGCGAGAAGUAUGCGGAAUGCGUGGUGUAGCGGUGAAAUGCAUAGAUAUCACGCAGAACUCCGAUUGCGAAGGCAGCAUACCGGCGCCCGACUGACGCUGAGGCACGAAAGCGUGGGGAUCGAACAGGAUUAGAUACCCGAGUAGUC
rnacentral:rRNA from 1 species